UUCUGCAGCGCGCGAAGAGAAAAGAAAAACAGCCACAGAGGAGCGAGAAAAUGUCUUUCGCGCUUCGUUCGAUCUUGGGCGGUCCGUCUUCAGUAGGAGCGAUGUACUCGAGCAAGUAUGACAGCAACCCACUCUUCUCCGCCGGCCUCGAAUCUCACGAAGCGAGGAAACGGCAGGGUCAUUCCGUUGACGGUGAAACAGAUAAACCCCGUGCGUAACCUGUCCGAUGAUCAUUCAAAGCGGGAAAGACAGUUUGGGUUCCAACGUAUUGGUAUAAAAUGUGUUCACCACGGGACCCACGAAUAGCGAUCAAUCUGAGGCUUACGGGUUGGUUUCUACAGCGCGGGAAAGAGAAAAAUCAGCGAAAAAGGUUGUUCCGGCUUGUCUACGUUCAAGAAGCGAGGAAAUGGCGAGGUCAUUCCGUUCACUAUGAAACAGAAAAGCCAGGCCGUGCAGAAAACUGCCGAUGAUAAUACAAAUAUUGUGGUGGACAGAUGCGAGGUUAAUAAUGUGGCAUUGGUGGGAAUGGUGUUGAACAAACUUGAAAAGGUUACUGAUGUUCACAAUUCGUCCUAGAUGAUGGAACGGGAAGAAUUGAUGUUACCUGAUGAAAACCGCAUGAAGUGCUGUUUGUCAUAAGUUGAACUCUGGCAGCCUCGGUCCAAACGUUGCGUAUGUGAAAAGCACUGAUUACUAUGAAUGGCUGUUAUGUUCGUGCUCAUGGUCAUUUGAAGUCGUUCCAAGGAAAAAGGCUUUUUAACUCUUUCUGUGUAAGAUUAUUUGUUCAGAUAUUCAAGAAUUUAACAGUGAAUGUCACAUGCCGCAACCCCCAAACAACUUUUGCAUGAAGGUGUAAGUGC